rnacentral:misc_RNA from 1 species
UGUGGUCAGCUCCUCUCAAAUGAAUCAGCUUGCCAGUGUUUGGUGGCAUCGCAGGUGUGAUAACUAUCUACGCUUGUGGUGUUCUGCCAGAUCACCUUCAGCAAUGGAGGUUCACUGGAGCUCACAAAUGUCUCUCCUCAGUGGGGACAGCUCUCUGAAUGUUUGAUCUCAAAUCAGGUAGGACUACCCGCUGAACUUAA